rnacentral:rRNA from 1 species
AUUGAACGCUGGCGGCAUGCCUUACACAUGCAAGUCGAACGGUAACAGGUUAAGCUGACGAGUGGCGAACGGGUGAGUAAUACAUCGGAACGUGCCCAGUAGUGGGGGAUAGCCCGGCGAAAGCCGGAUUAAUACCGCAUACGACCUACGGGUGAAAGGGGGGGAUCGCAAGACCUCUCGCUAUUGGAGCGGCCGAUGUCAGAUUAGGUAGUUGGUGGGGUAAAAGCUCACCAAGCCGACGAUCUGUAGCUGGUCUGAGAGGACGACCAGCCACACUGGGACUGAGACACGGCCCAGACUCCUACGGGAGGCAGCAGUGGGGAAUUUUGGACAAUGGGCGAAAGCCUGAUCCAGCCAUGCCGCGUGCAGGAUGAAGGCCUUCGGGUUGUAAACUGCUUUUGUACGGAACGAAAAGGUUUGGCCUAAUAAGCUGAGCUCAUGACGGUACCGUAAGAAUAAGCACCGGCUAACUACGUGCCAGCCGCCGCGGUAA